rnacentral:rRNA from 1 species
AGUGAACUGAAACAUCUAAGUAGCUGCAGGAAGAGAAAGCAAAAGCGAUUGCCUUAGUAGCGGCGAGCGAAACGGCAAGAGGGCAAACCGAAGAGUUUACUCUUCGGGGUUGUAGGACUGCGACGUGGACUUAAAGAUUAUAGAAGAACUACCUGGGAAGGUAGGCCAAAGAGAGUAAUAGCCUCGUAUUCGAAAUAGUCUUUAUACCUAGCAGUAUCCUGAGUACGGCGAGACACGAGAAAUCUCGUCGGAAUCUGGGAGGACCAUCUCCCAACCCUAAAUACUCUCUAGUGACCGAUAGUGAACCAGUACCGUGAGGGAAAGGUGAAAAGCACCCCGGGAGGGGAGUGAAAUAGAACCUGAA